GCCUUCGUGGUGUAGUGGUCAGCACGCUCGACGCGUAACUGAGAGGUCUGUGGUUCGAUUCUCGGCGAAGGCG
rnacentral:tRNA from 1 species